UGAGUAACACGUGGGCAACCUGCCCAUAAGCCUGGGAUAACUUCGGGAAACCGGAGCUAAUACCGGAUAAUAUAAGGAACCUCCUGGUUCUUUAUUGAAAGAUGGUUUCGGCUAUCGCUUAUGGAUGGGCCCGCGGCGCAUUAGCUAGUUGGUGAGGUAACGGCUCACCAAGGCGACGAUGCGUAGCCGACCUGAGAGGGUGAUCGGCCACACUGGGACUGAGACACGGCCCAGACUCCUACGGGAGGCAGCAGUAGGGAAUCUUCCACAAUGGACGAAAGUCUGAUGGAGCAACGCCGCGUGAGCGAUGAAGGCCUUCGGGUCGUAAAGCUCUGUUGUUAGGGAAGAACAAGUGCGAGAGUAACUGCUCGCACCUUGACGGUACCUAACCAGAAAGCCACGGCUAACUACGUGCCAGCAGCCGCGGUAAUACGUAGGUGGCAAGCGUUGUCCGGAAUUAUUGGGCGUAAAGCGCGCGCAGGCGGUUUCUUAAGUCUGAUGUGAAAGCCCACGGCUCAACCGUGGAGGGUCAUUGGAAACUGGGGAACUUGAGUGCAGAAGAGGAGAGUGGAAUUCCACGUGUAGCGGUGAAAUGCGUAGAGAUGUGGAGGAACACCAGUGGCGAAGGCGACUCUCUGGUCUGUAACUGACGCUGAGGCGCGAAAGCGUGGG
rnacentral:rRNA from 1 species